UACGUAGGGUGCGAGCGUUACUCGGAAUUACUGGGCGUAAAGCGUGCGUAGGUGGUUCGUUAAGUCUGAUGUGAAAAGCCCUGGGCUCAACCUGGGAAUGGCAUUGGAAACUGGCGACCUAGAGUGCGGUAGAGGGGCAGUGGAAUUCCCGGUGUAGCAGUGAAAAUGCGUAGAGAUCGGGAGGAACAUCUGUGGCGAAGGCGACUGCCUGGACCAGCACUGACACUGAGGCACGAAAAGCGUGGAGAGCAAACAGG
rnacentral:rRNA from 1 species